ACUGGACAUUGGGAAUUGUAGCCUCAGGAGCAUACGUCGUGGGAAGGCCGCUGGUGUAAGUCCUCUGGAAUGAGGCGCCCUAGAGGGUGACAGCCCCGUGCAUAACCAGUGCUUGCCAUACUGUACCGCAUAAGUCGUGUGUUCACAGAGUCGGGUUGUUUGGGAAUUCAGCCUAAAGUGCGAGGUAAACUCCUCGUAAAGCUAAAUAUU
rnacentral:rRNA from 11 species